AUUAUUUUGGCAGAAUAUGCGUUAGAUUUAGGAUUUAAUAAUAUAGGUUAUCUAUAAAUAAUG
rnacentral:tRNA from 1 species